rnacentral:rRNA from 1 species
UAAUACAUGCGUUAAUAUCCUACUGGGGUAGUAUUUAUUAGACUGAAACCAACUCCUUCGGGGUGAUGUGGUGAUUCAUAAUAAACUUGCGGAUCGCACGGGCAACCGGCGAUGGAUCAUUCAAGUUUCUUCCCUAUCAACUUUCGAUGUUUGGGUAUUGGCCAAACAUGGUUGCAACGGGUAACGGAGGGUUAGGGCUCGACCCCGGAGAAGGAGCCUGAGAAACGGCUACUACAUCCAAGGAAGGCAGCAGGCGCGCAAAUUACCCAAUCCCGACUCGGGGAGGUAGUGACAAUAAAUACUGAUACAGGGCCCUUUCGGGCCUUGUAAUUGGAAUGAGUACAAUUUAAAUCCCUUAACGAGGAACAAUUGGAGGGCAAGUCUGGUGCCAGCAGCCGCGGUAAUUCCAGCUCCAAUAGCGUAUAUUAAAGUUGUUGUGGUUAAAAAGCUCGUAGUUGAACCUUGGGCCUGGCUGGCCGGUCCGCCUCACCGCGUGCACUGGUCCGGCCGGGCCUUUCCCUCUGUGGAACCCCAUACCCUUCACUGGGCGUGGCGGGGAAACAGGACAUUUACUUU